UGCUUGCUUCGGCAGCACAUAUACUAAAA
rnacentral:snRNA from 1 species